GGAAAGGGGAACGACGGGUGGAUGGGUGGGAGACAGUCGAGGGGGGAGAGAAGACAAGUUCGUCCAUCACGUUCGUCGGCCAGUCUCGAACUUCGACCUCCGGAGAGGGAAAUUCGCUUAUCGCGGAGGUACGGACUGUCUCUCUCUCUCUCUCUCUCUCUCUUUCUCUCUUUUUCUCUCUCUCUUUCUCUCUGUCUCUCUCUCUCUCUCUCUCUCUGUCUUCGUAUCCUUUUCUCAUCUUCGUACACACACAUUAAAUUUCUCUAUCUCUAUCUUUUUCUUUCGCUUCUGUCUGUCUGUCUGUCUGUCUGUCUCUCUGUCUGUCUGUCUGUUUCUCAUUGCCUUUCUCCGUCUCUCCUACUUCGUCCAUAUCCCGUUUCUCCUUCUCGCAGUCCCCCUAUAUUUCUCUCUGUUGCUGAGCGGCCGUAAUAGGUUGGAAAUCAAGGAAUACCAUCGUCGUCUUCUUCUUCUUCUUCUUCUUCUUCUUCUUCUUCUUCUUCUUCUUCUUCUUCUUCUUCUUCUUCUUCUUCUUCUUCUGCUUCUCCUCCUCCUCCUCCUCCUCCUUCUUCUUCUUUUACUCUUCUUCUACGUCUACUUCUACUUCUAUCUGUGUGUGAACCAACCGUUGCAGCGAAACGAUGGCGUGCUAAGCCCCGUGUGUGUCACCUAUUGCUGGUCUAUAGCCAGCCAGCCUAUCGGCUGGCUCUCGAACUGCCUCGAUACGUUACUGACCGACGAUGUUGCCAAGGCGCCGCCGAUGAUGGUGGUGGUGGUGGUGCUGGUGGUGGUGGUGGUGGCGGCGGUGGUGGUGAUGGUGGUGGUGGUGGCGGUGGUGCUCCGACGACGGUAGUAACGACGGCGGCGGCGGCGGCGGCGGUGGCGGUGGUGGCGGCGAUGGCGAUGGUGGUGGUGGUGGUGGUGCUGUCGGCGGCGAUGAUGGCGACGAUGGCGGUGGCGGUGGCGGUGGCGGUGGCGGUGGCAGCGGCAGCGGCAACGGCGGUGGCGGCGGUGCCAAUGGUGGCGCCAAUGGUGGCGGUGUGCCGACGAUGGUGGCAAUGUGGCGGUGCUGACGGUGCCUAUACCCGUGCUUCUCCUUGUGUCUCUUUCUAUUCUUUCUGUCUGUCUCUCUCUUUCUCUCUAUCUAUCUAUCUAUCUAUCUAUCUAUCUAUCUAUCUAUCUACCUAUCUAUCUAUCUAUCUAUCUAUCUAUCUAUCUAUCUAUCUAUCUAUCUAUCUAUCUAUCUAUCUCUCAUUCUGUCUCUCUCUCCGUGUCCUGUGUGCGUCUGUGUAUGUAUGUGCGUAUAUGUGGGUGGGUGGGUUGUUGUGCGUGAGUGCGUGCAUUGGUGUUCCUCGUCGUAGUGGUAGUGCCGGCGGUGGUGAUACCGGUGGUGGCGGUGGUGGCGAUGGUGGCGGUGGUGGAGAUGGCGGUGGUGGUGGUGGUGGUGGUGGUGGUGGUGGUGGUGGUGGUGGUGGUGGUGGUGGUGGUGGUGGUGGUGGUGGUGGCUGCGGCGGUGGGACACGCAAAGUCGUCUACCCAAGGAACGAAAGAAGGCUCCGUCUGUGCGCCGCGAGGGCAGUGAUCUCUCUGGGAGCGCCGACCUGACGUACGCGAACGCGGUGUCCGAUAGAUAUAGCAUAUAUAUUUCUUUCACCCUGCUAUACUUCUCCCUUUUUCUUCUCUCUCUUUCUUUCUCUAUCUCUUUCUCUGUCUCUCUCUCUCUCUUUCUUUCUUUCUUUCUCUUCCUCUUUUUUUCUUUCUAUCCUUCUCUACCUAUCUUUCUAAUUCUUUCUAUUUCUCUGUCUCUUUCUCUUUCUCUCUGUAUCGCUCCCACUCUUAAUUUUUUCAUUUUCAUUAUCUAUCUUAUCCGCCCUCUCCUCGUCUCUCUCUUUCUCUAUCAUUCUCUCUCAUUCUCUCUCAUUCUCUCUCAUUCUCUUUCUCUUUCUAUCUCUCUCUCUCUCUCCUUCCUUCUCCCACCUACAGGGCUCUUGCUCUUCGUACACGGCCAGACGGAUUCGUGAUUCUGGGGCGGCUCUCCGUAAUGCAACCGAAUUCAUCGAGAGAAAGGAAUAAUCUACAACGCAUAAUAUCGAGGUUUCUACAAUGAUGAACGAAGGAGAGGAUCCAGGAGAAGGAAUGGUUUUUCUUUUGGAGUGAAUUGGAUCAAGUAAGAAGAAUGGAGUAUCAAGAGAGAAAAAGAGAGAGAGAGAGAGAUAAAAAGAAAGAAAGAAAGAAAGAAAGAAAGAAAGAAAGAAAGAAAGAUGGAAAGAAAAAUAGAAAAAAAGAAAUAAAGAAGAGAAAUAGAGAGAGAGAGAGAAAGAUAGAGA